GUACUCGCUUCAGCAGGACAUACACUAAAAUUGGAAUGAAUCAGAAGAUUAGCAUGGCUAUUGCACAAGGAUGACACGCAAAUUCGUGAAGCAUUCCAUAUUUUU